GAUGACGAUGACGAUGUUGAUCUUUUUGGUGAAGAGACCGAAGAGGAGAAGAAGGCUGCUGAAGAGCGUGCGGCUUCCAUCAAGGCAUCUACAAAGAAGAAAGAGUCUGGCAAGUCAUCGGUUCUGUUGGAUGUGAAGCCAUGGGAUGAUGAAACUGACAUGAAAAAGCUUGAGGAGGCUGUAAGAAGUGUCCACAUGGAUGGCUUGCUUUGGGGAGCAUGUAAGUUCUUCCUUCAUCUAAGGAUUAUUUGUUGCUAAAGGGGACAGAUUUACUUAAAACAAUGUAGCAACAAUUUUGCCGUUGAUAUACACAUAUUAAGUUAUUAUUGUGCAAGCUAAUGUUUAAUUGUACAAAUUUUAGUCCUUGAUGUGAAUUCAGUUAUUAUUUUCUUAAUUGUGCAGCCAAACUCGUAGCUGUUGGGUACGGGAUUAAGAAGUUGCAAAUAAUGAUGACAAUUGUUGAUGACCUGGUCUCUGUUGAUACUCUCAUUGAGGAGCAACUUACUGUUGAACCAAUUAACGAGUAUGUCCAGAGUUGCGACAUCGUAGCCUUCAACAAGAUAUGUAAGUAUAGCGUUUGUAUCAGUAAAUUUGAUGCUGCAAUGAGCAUUUCUUGGCUUUUAGUUAGGAUAAUUGGAUUAUCUUACAAGAUAGGGUUUGUGCAUUGUGCUGGAGUAUAAAUGCAUCUUUACGGUGUUAAUUUAUGCUUACCUUGUUUUUGUUGCAGGAUUGGAGCUUGCGGAUGUGUAUUUUGUUUCUGGCGGUAUGAUUUGAGACAUUAUAUUUGGUUUUGAUGUAUUAGUAUUCCCUUGAUGAAUAGUUUCCGAGGCUGUUUGCUUGUUUGGUAUGGUUUCAGUUACUGUUGAAAACAUAAUUUCAGUUUUGUUAUGGUGGUUUUUGGUAGCUUGUUUCU
rnacentral:lncRNA from 1 species